GUCUGGAUAGCUCAGUAGGUUAGAGUGUGGUCCUGAAGACCUCAAGGUUGUUGGUUCGAUCCCUGCAUGUGACA